GGUGAACGCUGGCGGCGUGCUUAAGACAUGCAAGUCGAACGGCAGUCUUCGGACUGUAGUGGCGCACGGGUGAGUAACGCGUAACUGACCUACCCCAAAGUCGCGGAUAACGAUUCGAAAGAAUCGCUAAUACGUGAUGUGCUGUCAGAGUGUGUUCUGCCAGUAAAGAUUGAUUGCUUUGGGAUGGGGUUGCGUUCCAUCAGCUAGUUGGUGGGGUAAGGGCCCAGCAAGGCGACGACGGAUAGCCGGCCUGAGAGGGUGGCCGGCCACAGGGGCACUGAGACACGGGUCCCACUCCUACGGGAGGCAGCAGUUAGGAAUCUUCCACAAUGGGCGAAAGCCUGAUGGAGCGACGCCGCGUGAGGGAUGAAGGUCUUCGGAUCGUAAACCUCUGAAUCAGGGACGAAAGACACUUCGGUGGGAUGACGGUACCUGAGUAAUAGCACCGGCUAACUCCGUGCCAGCAGCCGCCGCGGUAA
rnacentral:rRNA from 1 species